GACCCGUUACCCGGGUUGCGGACAGUGUCUGGUGGGUAGUUUGACUGGGGCGGUCUCCUCCUAAAGAGUAACGGAGGAGCACGAAGGUUGGCUAAUCCUGGUCGGACAUCAGGAGGUUAGUGCAAUGGCAUAAGCCAGCUUGACUGCGAGCGUGACGGCGCGAGCAGGUGCGAAAGCAGGUCAUAGUGAUCCGGUGGUUCUGAAUGGAAGGGCCAUCGCUCAACGGAUAAAAGGUACUCCGGGGAUAACAGGCUGAUACCGCCCAAGAGUUCAUAUCGACGGCGGUGUUUGGCACCUCGAUGUCGGCUCAUCACAUCCUGGGGCUGAAGUAGGUCCCAAGGGUAUGGCUGUUCGCCAUUUAAAGUGGUACGCGAGCUGGGUUUAGAACGUCGUGAGACAGUUCGGUCCCUAUCUGCCGUGGGCGCUGGAGAACUGAGGGGGGCUGCUCCUAGUACGAGAGGACCGGAGUGGACGCAUCACUGGUGUUCGGGUUGUCAUGCCAAUGGCACUGCCCGGUAGCUAAAUGCGGAAGAGAUAAGUGCUGAAAGCAUCUAAGCACGAAACUUGCCCCGAGAUGAGUUCUCCCUGAGACUUAGAGUCUCCUGAAGGAACGUUGAAGACGACGACGUUGAUAGGCCGGGUGUGUAAGCGCAGCGAUGCGUUGAGCUAACCGGUACUAAUGAACCGUGAGGCUUAACCUU
rnacentral:rRNA from 1 species